CGUGCACUGGUGGGGUCCCUCGGCUGGGCCUGCGGGUGUCGAGCUGAAACCAGAAGUCCAACAUCCCCCAAGGGGUCCUGGAUUGCGAGAGGGUGCAGGCCAAGCCGAGGGACCCCACCAGUGCACG
rfam:Myotis brandtii contig212258, whole genome shotgun sequence.